ACGACCUUACUUGAACAGGAUCUGUUCUAUAGGCUCGUACCAUUGAAUUCUUGAAUUCUAAGGAGACAGGAUACCAAGUUUGGUUGAUGAAGUAUGGCCAUGUGAUCAGAGCGUGAUUAAUAACCAACCCAUGGCUCCUCAAGCUGUGGUUGCAGUAGAUGAUCGUUCUUAGACCUAUCUCGGGUCUAAGAUGAUCUCAUGGCUUUCUGACAGACU